rnacentral:rRNA from 1 species
CCUACGGGAGGCAGCAGUAGGGAAUUUUCCACAAUGGGCGAAAGCCUGAUGGAGCAACGCCGCGUGGGUGAAGAAGGUCUUCGGAUCGUAAAACCCUGUUGUUAGAGAAGAAAGUGCGUGAGAGUAACUGUUCACGUUUCGACGGUAUCUAACCAGAAAGCCACGGCUAACUACGUGCCAGCAGCCGCGGUAAUACGUAGGUGGCAAGCGUUAUCCGGAUUUAUUGGGCGUAAAGGGAACGCAGGCGGUCUUUUAAGUCUGAUGUGAAAGCCUUCGGCUUAACCGGAGUAGUGCAUUGGAAACUGGGAGACUUGAGUGCAGAAGAGGAGAGUGGAACUCAAUGUGUAGCGGUGAAAUGCGUAGAUAUAUGGAAGAACACCAGUGGCGAAAGCGGCUCUCUGGGCUGUAACUGACGCUGAGGUUCGAAAGCGUGGGUAGCAAACAGGAUUAGAUACCCCGGUAGUC